GGAGUUAUGAAAUGCGAUGCGGUUAGUACCCGUGUCGUUUGACUAAGGCUCCAGAGGAAGCCACGGCUAACUCUGUGCCAGCAGCCGCGGUAAUACAGAGGUGGCAAGCGUCGUUCGGAAUUAUUGGGCGUAAAGAGCACGUAGGCGGCCCUGCCAGUCAGUUGUGAGAGCCUUCCGCACAACGGAAGAACGGCAGCUGAUACUACAGGGCUAGAGUACGGGAGGGGAGAGUG
rnacentral:rRNA from 1 species